GGAGAGAUGGCAGAGUCUGGCUGAAUGCGCUGCACUCGAAAUGCAGUUUACGCUAUGCGUAACGGGGGUUCGAAUCCCUCUCUCUCCG
rnacentral:tRNA from 1 species